CAGUAUGCCUGUUAUUUGAGUGGACUCUUCUUGGACCAUUUGCUUGGAUGAACAGUGGGCAGAAGUGGAAAGGAAGGGUGCUCUGGACAAAGGUGACAAAGCCCAGGAACAAAAGUCGGAAGGUGCACAGUGUGCCCAGAGGGCCAGGAAUUGGGUGGAGUGACUGGCUCCUUGGUCGCUUGCAAGUAGCAUGAGAAUAGAGAGGGCUGGGAGAUGCAUUAAAAAGCACCAGGACAAAUUUAGGUUUGCACAGAAAAGGACGUUUCGUCAGGGUACGUGAGGAAAGUUGAGUAGAGAAUUUAGGAAUGGAGCAGACGACUCUGGUUGGGAUGAUGAGAGCGGAGAGACAGAUCCAUGUUCUUUCCAGGUGCCCCAGCAGCUCCAGGUCUCGCUGAACCUGUUACUAUGGCAGCGUCUAUGCUUCACUUUUGAGGAUUGCUUCUGCUUUGAAAUAGCCGUGUGGAAGAAAAACUACAAAGUUUUGAGGGGGAAAAAACCCACCUAACUUUAGCUGCCGUUGUGUCUUCAUCUGUAAAAAUCUUCUUCAUGUCUCAUGGAUUUCAACAUGCAGUUUAUCUUGGUUUGUUCCAUAAAACAUCAGAUGCAACUUUAAUGGCCUAACCCCAAAAAGAUAACUUGGCAGCCAUCAAGCAUUCAGCAGCGUUCCAAAUGCCCUCUUGCUGGAGCCAGCCUUCUACGGGGCCAUGUGGAUGUCAGGCACACACAAUUUGAGUCACGCUGACAUAGCUGGGAUGCCUGGAUUGCACUGGAAUCUGGGGGGUACCAAUCACAGGCCAGAGAGAAGCCAUUGGCUGGAAGGAACAAUGCCAGCGUGUUCACCGUCUCUGCAGAAGGAGGGGGUGUUGAUGGUGAGGGGAAUGACAGUUGCAGCCAAAGGAGCAAAAUGACCCCAAAGCAGGGUGGGCACAUGUCAUUGAUGCUGGGCAGAAGCACUCCAGGGGCUCAGGUCAUGACCACACCCCUUUUCUCCUGCCCCACAACCAGAAAAACUAAGAAGGUACAAGAUUUUCCCUAAAACUUAAUGUACAGAAUGCCCUGCUGUCUUCAGGUUUUUGGGAAAUCCAGGGUUGACAACAACAGCCCAAAUAUAUGAAGCACUUACCUCUACCAGGCACUGUCUGUAUCUUACAAAUAAUUCGUUUAAUUCUCACAACUCCUUAAUGAGGUAAGUUUUACAAUUUCCAUUUUAUGAUGAGGGAAACUGAGGCUUAGAAAGAUUAAGAAACUUGCCCAAAUCCUGCAGCCAGAAAUGGGCAGAAUCAAGACAUGAACCACAGUCUCUCAAAAGCCAAAGCCUGGGCACUCACUACUACCCUCAACAGCCCGGUGGCUGGUUCAUGCCAUCUCUGCCACCCUCACACAGCCACCUCUUGGAUGGUAGAACCCUGUGUGUUGAACAAGUAGAGUAACAUUCUAAAAGGAUUCUUUUUCCUCCCCUGUUUUCCUGGGGGCUGAGUAGACAUGUUUAAACAUGCUGUUCAUCUGACACUUGUUUACUUCAGUGGCUAUGAUGUGCAAGACCCCAGACCAGGAACAGUAAGAGGGCAUGAGGAUAACCCAGCGUGGAGACCACUCUGGAGGAGGCUGCAGACUGGAGGCGCUGUUGUAGCCAGCUGCAUUUUGGAGGCUGGGUUGCCUGUCUUAGAUCUCUAAUGAGUUUGGUCAUUAUUUUUUCAGCCAGGGUUUUCUUCCUCCCUCCCUGUCUUCCUUCCCUUUCUCCUUCCUUCCUUCAUUCCUUCCUUCCUUUCUUCCUUCCUUCUUUCCUCCCUCCCUCCCUCCCUCCCUCCCUUCCUUUCUCUCUUUCCUUCUAUCUUUUAUUUUCUCUCUUUCUCUGUCUCUCUCUUUCUCUCUUUCUUCCUCCCUCCCUCCCUUUCUCUCCUUCUUUCUUUCUCCCUCCCUCCUCUCCUCCCUCUCUUGGUCUCUCUCUCUCUCCCUUCCUUCCUUUGUUCUUUCAAGAUUUUUCUUUCUUUCUUUCUUUCUUUUAAAGGUGUAAGCCUUUUUCUGGUUCACUACAUGCCAAGGACUGCGCUAAAUCAUUCACAUAAAACCACCAGCGUGCAUCACCUCAUUUGGUCCUCCCACAGUCUAACGGGUAGGUACUGUCAUUACCCUCAUUUUAAGAAAAUGAAGAAACUGAAGCUCAGAGAGAAGAAUCUACCAUAAAACCAACAGACUCCUCCUGAUCUCUACCUGUGCUGUCUGCCUCUCUAGUUCCGGACACUGAGAGCUGGUGCCCUGUGGCCACCUCAAGCUGGAACCCUGCAAGAUCACCAAGAAGACUGCAUGCCUCGCUCUAGCCUUCCUAAGGGAAAGUAGACUCCUGUUUUUGAGAGAAAUUACCUGAUUUCAAGAGAAACAUAAAGGACUUUUUUUCCCUUAACAUUCCACUCGUAAAAAUGAAGUUUGGAAGAACUUCUGCAAACUCUGAGUGUUUUGGUCAAUUGACCUUUUACUGUACUAAGCAAAUCUGAAGCCACAAAUACAUUGGGGAGGAAGGUAUACCCUUCACAAAAGAUCCGUCACUUAGCCAGAUACUCUGUUGCCAUGCUUCUUUAAAUAAAGCACAUUUCUGGUAUAUUU
rnacentral:lncRNA from 1 species